rnacentral:tRNA from 1 species
GCCUUAGCUCAGUUGGUAGAGCAGCUGAUUUGUAAUCAGCCGGUCGUUGGUUCGAGUCCAAUAGG